rnacentral:misc_RNA from 1 species
UAAAAAUAAGGAGCAAUUACAAAAAAAAGUACUCUGUGAUUUUACCUAUUUUUCACUUCAGCAUAUGUAGUUCACUUUGUAACAGAAUAAUACACUGAGGUUUUCCUCCGAUAGGAAAGACCAACUUUCCAUCCUUCUCCAUUAAAAAUUGUUGAUGUGGAUUUAAAAAAUAAUUUUCCAGAAAUAAAAAAAUUAUUUUUUAAUUAAAAAAAA